rnacentral:rRNA from 1 species
UUCCGGUUGAUCCCGCCGGACCCCACUGCUAUCGGGAUAGGACUAAGACAUGCUAGUCAAGCGCUUUCUAGCUAAUGUGAGAGCGCGGCGUACAGCUCAGUAACACGUGGCCAACCUGCCCUUGGGACGGGAACACCCCCGGGAAACUGGGGUUAAUUCCCGAUAGGUGAAGAAGUCUGGAAUGAAUCUUCGCUCAAAAGACGUUUAUGUCAUGCUCAUAUUCGUCGCCCAGGGAUGGGGCCGCGACCGAUCAGGUAGUUGGUGAGGCAAUGGCUCACCAAGCCUUUUACCGGUGCGGGCCGUGAGAGCGGGAGCCCGGAGAUGGGCACUGAGACAAGGGCCCAGGCCCCACGGGGCGCAGCAGUCGCGAAAACUUUGCAAUACACGAAAGUGUGACAGGGCUAUCCCGAGUGCCAUCCGCUGAGGAAGGCUUUUACCCAGUAUAAAUAGCUGGGAGAAUAAGGAGAGGGCAAGUCUGGUGUCAGCCGCCGCGGUAAUACCAGCUCUCCGAGUAGUGUGGACGUUUAUUGGGCCUAAAGCAUCCGUAGCUUGCUAGAUAAGUCCUCUGUUAAAUCCACCGAUUCAAUCGUUGGAUUGCGGGGGAUACUGUUUGGCUAGGGGACGGGAGAGGUCGACGGUAUUUCCGGGGUAGGGGUGAAAUCCUAUAAUCCCGGGAAGACCACCAGUGGCGAAGGCUGUCGACUAGAACGCGCCCGACGGUGAGGGAU